GGGCUCGUUUCGGCAGCACAUAUACUAAAAUUGGAACGAUACAGAGAAGACGGUCCCUGUGCAAGGAUGGCACACAAAUUUGUAAAGUGUUCCAUAUUUUU
rnacentral:snRNA from 1 species